CCGGGUGAGUAGCACGUAUCCAACCUGCCGUCUACUCUUGGACAGCCUUCUGAAAGGAAGAUUAAUACAAGAUGGCAUCAUGAGUCCGCAUGUUCACAUGAUUAAAGGUAUUCCGGUAGACGAUGGGGAUGCGUUCCAUUAGAUAGUAGGCGGGGUAACGGCCCACCUAGUCUUCGAUGGAUAGGGGUUCUGAGAGGAAGGUCCCCCACAUUGGAACUGAGACACGGUCCAA
rnacentral:rRNA from 1 species